GAUGAACGCUGGCGGCGUGCUUAACACAUGCAAGUCGAACGAUGAAGCCCAGCUUGCUGGGUGGAUUAGUGGCGAACGGGUGAGUAACACGUGAGUAACCUGCCCUUAACUCUGGGAUAAGCCUGGGAAACUGGGUCUAAUACCGGAUAGGAGCGCCUACCGCAUGGUGGGUGUUGGAGAGAUUUAUCGGUUUUGGAUGGACUCGCGGCCUAUCAGCUUGUUGGUGAGGUAAUGGCUCACCAAGGCGACGACGGGUAGACGGCCUGAGAGGGUGACCGGCCACACUGGGACUGAGACACGGCCCAGACUCCUACGGGAGGCAGAAGUGGGGAAUAUUGCACAAUGGGCGAAAGCCUGAGGCAGCGACGCCGCGUGAGGGAUGACGGCCUUCGGGUUGUAAACCUCUUUCAGUAGGGAAGAAGCGAAAGUGACGGUACCUGCAGAAGAAGCACCGGCUAACUACGUG
rnacentral:rRNA from 1 species